rnacentral:rRNA from 1 species
CCCUUAGAUGUUCUGGGCCGCACGCGCGCUACACUGAUGCAUUCAACAAGCCUAGCCUUGACCGAGAGGUCCGGGUAAUCUUUGAAACUGCAUCGUGAUGGGGCUAGAUUAUUGCAAUUAUUAAUCUUCAACGAGGAAUGCCUAGUAAGCGUGAUUCAUCAAAUCGCGUUGAUUACGUCCCUGCCCUUUGUACACACCGUCCGUCGCUCCUACCGAUUGAAUGUGUUGGUGAGGAGCUCGGAUUGGCAGCAGUUGGUGGUUCGCCACCGGCUAUUGCUGAGAAGUCCUCCAAACCGCCCCAUUUAGAGGAAGGAGAAGUCGUAACA